UGCUUAUCUUACCUGCCGUUUAGUGGGGGAUAAAAUACCGCAUAUUCUGGUUUCGACCAGGAAAGGACUUCGGUUCGCUAAAUGAUGGGGAUAAGUCGUAUUAGUUUGUUGGUGGGGUAAAGGCCUACCAAGACCAAGAUGCGUAGCCAAACUGAGAGGUUGAAUGGCCACAGGGAAACUGAGACACGGUUCCCACUCCUACGGGAGGCAGCAGUGAGGAAUAUUCCGCAAUGGGCGAAAGCCUGACGGAGCGAUGCUACGUGAAGGAUGAAGGUCUACGGAUUGUAAACUUCUUUACUUGGAUGUACUCCUUAAAACUUGCAUCCGAGCAAAAAGUCACGACUAACUAUGUGCCAGCAGUCGCGGUAAGACAUAGGUGGCGAACGUUAUCCGGAAUUAUUGGGCGUAAAGGAUGCGUAGAUGGUAGAAUAAGUUAUUGGUUGAUACCAAACUCAAUUUGGUGGAGGCUGGUAAUACUGUUCGGCUAGAGGGCAGGAGAAGUUGAUGGAAUUCUGUGUGGAGCGGUGAAAUGCGUUGAUCUACAGAGGAACACCAAAAAAGGCGAAGGCAGUCAACUAUUCUGUUCCUGACAUUGAGGCAUGAAAGCGUGGGGAGCAAACCGGAUUAGAUACCCGGGUAGUCCACGCCCUAAACGAUGAGCAUUAGAUAUUGGGCAUUUUGCUUAGUGUCGCAGUUAACGCUUUAAAUGCUCCGCCUGAGUACUACGGUCGCAAGGCUAAAACUCAAAGGAAUUGACGGGGACCCGCACAAGCGGUGGAGCAUGUGGUUUAAUUCGAUACGACGCGCAGAACCUUACCAAGGUUUGACAUGGAGGGCAAAGUUGAAGAAACUCAACGGAGGUUAUCCCGACACAGGUGGUGCAUGGUCGUCGUCAGUUCGUGCUGUGAAGCGUACGCUUAAGUGCUAGAACGAACGCAACCCUCAUAUUUAGUUGCUAUCAUUUAGUUGAGAACUCUAAAUAGACUGCUAAGAUAACUUAGAGGAAGGAGAGGAUGAAGUCUGAUC
rnacentral:rRNA from 1 species